rnacentral:rRNA from 1 species
AUGGUGGUCGCCGACGCCACCGGAGGCGAGGAAGGGGCGAGGAUCUCCCCGAAGGGAGGCCAAGGAGAGGAGGAUGCGGAGGAGCAGCUGUGCCGCAUCUGCCGCCUCCCCGCCGAGGCGGAGCGGCCCCUGCGGAGCCCAUGCGCCUGCCGCGGCAGCAUCAGGUUCGUCCACGACGAAUGCCAGCUCCGGUGGAUCUCCGCCCGCGGAAAACCCCUAUGCGAGGUAUGCAACCGCGGCAUCACCACCCGGCUUCUCUACGCCGCGGACGCCCCCGCGAGGCUGCCUGUUUCUGAGUUCAUCGUGGGGGCGUCCGACAAGCUCACGGGUCUGCUGCUGCUGCUCGUCUUCGUCGUAUGCGUUGUGCCGGAGUUUUCCAUUCACCUCGCCGCCCUCUGGGCUUGGCACCUCGCGCUCGCCAGAUCCUUUGCUCAAGCGCGCUGUUUGCUCUCCCUCCGCCUUUCUACCGCCUCCGCCAUCGCUCUAUUUGCGCUCUGCGUUGCAUUCGCGCGCCGGUUUGCUCCAUUUGCUGUAGCUCCAUUUGCACGAUGGGUUGCGCGCCUAGAAACUCGGCGUCAGGGGUUUCGAGGAUUUGAUGGCUUGCAAGUCCUUGCGCUACUUGCCGUUGAAGCAUUCUUGAUGGUGGUAAUAUUUGACAUGGCUCUUGCUUGUAUUUUGGUUUUUCUCCCAUUCUCGCUGGGAAGGAUAAUCCACUGGUGCAUAUCGUGUUCCAUUUUUUCCAAUGUGGGUGAAGUCAACUCCUACACUUCAACAGGCUCUGCCCUUCUAAUUGGAUAUGGACUUAUCAUUUCUGUGGGUGUCACUUUUCCUGGGCUGAACACUCUCUGGCAAUACUUUAGGGGGGAGCGCCUUAUGAUUGCAAUUUUCAUUAGACGGCUCCAUGCUAGAUUCCUCAGAGAGACUGCAGGUUUCACCACUCUUGCAAGUAUUCUCCUGAGCGCAUUUAUAAUGUACCCGUUGUUCUUUGGCUGGUUGCUUGAUAUCUUCACUUCAAAAAUGUUUGGUGCAACAAUGUCUCAAAGGCUGGAACUCCUGUUUGCUCCAUCUUUUGCUUCAGCUUCUCUUCAUUGUUUUAUUGGACACAUAUUUUUGAAUCUACGUCUCUGGUUGUCCGUAACUCUUCACAAGAUAUUGAGGCUGGGUGCCUGUCCCUGCUGCCACAUCCACCGUAACCAUAUUCAGGAACCAUUCCACAAAUUUUAUUUUAAGCGUGCUCUUCUGUAUGACGUUAUCUUUAUGGCCGUAGUAAUUUUUGUUCCUGUUCAAAUUGCUGGCCAAUUGGCACCGGAGCUGUUCCCGUUAGAUAUCAAUUGUGCUGCUGAAGGCUUAUCAUUAUGGCAAGCGCCACGAAACUAUGCCAAUUCAAUUUCUCGUGUUUUCAUUGUGUGGUUUCUCCUUAAGGGCACUUCUACAGUCACAUACCUUGAGUCGCUAGUGAAGAAGGUAACUCGGUAUUCGUAUGCCACUAAUGUGGUGCUUACAUGGUCGACUGUUGCGAUAUACAGUUCAGCUGUGCUCAUUUUUCCAAUCUCAAUUGGGCGUGCCUUGUUGCUUGCCAUCACCCGGAUGCCAGUAGCAAGUGGAUUGGAAUCCAAUGAUCUGCUUGCUUUGGUUGUUGGGAUUGGCAUCAUAUUAACUAUUAUUGCUGCCACUAGAGAUUCAAUUGCCUACAUGACUUGUGGGAGACCACGCCAUCUAGCUUUGAAGUACUCAAUGAUUGUGUUCUUAUGGUUUAUCGUCAUUCCAUUCCUGAAUGGGUUGCUGGUUGAUUUAUUUCUAAUAUCACCAUUCGUUGGGCCUGCUGACGACGUUUCAUUAUCCUACACUUGGGCCCUUGGGUUUCUAUUUAUGAGAAUCUGGCUAAAGCUGGUUCAGCAGAUAAGGGCCAGACCCGUCCUUGCCUAUAUCAUUGAUGAAAGGUGGGUUCCGACGAUUGUUCGGUGGAAGGCCGAUUGUCUUUCUUGGGAGAUAUCAAUGUUCUGGUUCUUACAAGAAAUCUUCCUGCCUAUUGCCAUGAGGCUACUCGUUGCUCUAGGCGUGCCUUAUGUGCUCGCCAAGGGUGUCUUCCCAAGAUUUGGCUACUCCGCUGCUGUGAACGCGGCAGUCUAUCGCUUCGCAUGGCUGGGCAGCCUCGGCUCCUGUGAGCUCUGCUAUCUCUUGAAGGUGUUGUGUUUCAAACUCCAUGAUUCGAUCAGGGAUGAGCGCUACGUCAUCGGGAAGAGGUUGGAAGAUGUCCCCCACGAUAGCUGA